GUUUCUGGGCGCCUGGUGUUGACAUACAAUAAUGGAACACUGGGAAUCAGUUGUGACUACAGUU